UACGUAGGGGGCUAGCGUUGUCCGGAAUCAUUGGGCGUAAAGAGCGUGUAGGCGGCUCGGUAAGUCCGCUGUGAAAGUCCAGGGCUCAACCCUGGAAUGCCAGUGGAAACUGUCGAGCUAGAGUCCGGAAGAGGCGAGUGGAAUUCCUGGUGUAGCGGUGAAAUGCGCAGAUAUCAGGAGGAACACCGAUGGCGAAGGCAGGUCUCUGGGCCGAUACUGACGCUGAGGAGCGAAAGCGUGGGGAGCGAACAGG
rnacentral:rRNA from 1 species